UACGAAGGGGGCUAGCGUUGCUCGGAAUCACUGGGCGUAAAGGGUGCGUAGGCGGGUCUUUAAGUCAGGGGUGAAAUCCUGGAGCUCAACUCCAGAACUGCCUUUGAUACUGAAGAUCUUGAGUUCGGGAGAGGUGAGUGGAACUGCGAGUGUAGAGGUGAAAUUCGUAGAUAUUCGGAAGAACACCAGUGGCGAAGGCGGGUCUCUGGGCAAUUCCUGACGCUGAGGCGCGAAAGCGUGGGGAGCAAACGGG
rnacentral:rRNA from 1 species